GUGGUUUGGUAUGUUUCCUUUUUCCUUUUGACGUUGGUGAAUAUUUAAUUUGGGCUUGAAUGAUUAUGUAUAAUUCCAUUACCACUGUAUCCAUCUGCUACCUUUUUCCUGCUGGUUUCGUUUCAGUACAUGGGGUGAUGCAAUAAAGAGCUUUUGUGGUUGUGGAAUGGUCCUCAAGAAUGGAAGAGAGCUGAAGGAAUGAAAGAGGAACUUGGCUUUAAACAUUAACUGCCCCUCUUGAUUCUAUUUGAACUGAAUUCCUCGGUUGAGUAUGUGGACUUUAAAAACUGUCCAUUCCAGGUGAAUUCUCUCCAUGAACUCUGUUUUCUCAUUUUUCUUGAACAUAUUGCCUGUAUCAUUUCUGAAAAAUGAUAUUUUUGAUGCUUACCGAGUUCAUUGAUUUGUGUGGUAGGAGCUUAAGAGAUUGGCUGCAUAUGCAGCAAGCAAUGUUUUUUGACCAACAUCAUUAUGAAGAAUCAUAUUUCUUCUGUCUGGCUAUAACUAUAAUAAUUUGCUAUGGUAUGCAGCUUAUACACUGAAUAUAUGAAUUUCUUGCUGAUUGAAUGAGAAUAUAUGUAUUUCUUACUUGUGUUCCUAUUUUGACUAAGUCUUGAUUUAUAUUAAUAACAAUAGUAUAGUUAAGGGACUCAUGCCAAUACUUAGGUGUAAAUAAAAGGAAAUGAUGAAUCACGUUGAUUGAUAACUUGAUCGAGGCCCCAAUUAUCCUUUCUGAAAACCUUCCUUUGUGGGUUUAGAGUAAAAAUGAAGCCUUUUUAUUUUAUCUAUAAUCUGAUUCGUGUGUGCUCAUAUUUUAAAUGGCAGAAAAGAAUCACCAAUAUGAUUUAAUGAUUUGUUUUUUGGUGGAUUAAAUUAAUGCAGAUCAUGACUCAUGAGUUACGAGAACUUGCUACUUCUUUUGAGUCUUUGUUGGGUAAGUCUACCAGGUUUUGAGCAUUGCAGGACGUGUACGGAGUAUUAUGAGGCAGGCUGAUAGGCCUUAAUUUGUAUCUGCAUUCUGUCAGACCAACUUAUUUAGGGCAUCUUCUAAUCAAAUUUGGUUAAAUUUCAUCUUAUGCCUUUUUUUGUUUUGAAUUUUCAGUUUUGGGGAUUCCCAAGCUCCAUUGAAGAAGUCAGUCGGGCCUCCGAGAAGAUCACCUCUAGAUGGUAAAUUUAAUAUGCAACUUCACCUUUAUCACCUUCUCUAUAAUUUUCAGUUUUUAGCGAGAAUUAUUAAUUUUUCUCUUAAAACUUUGGGGGAUUUAGCUGUAAUUUAUACCGUGUGUUUUAAUUUUUGGUCUGGGUUUUAUUUUGCAGAUUUUGUUGCUCAUUGGAAUCGAAUAAUCAGCUCAUAACUCAACAAAGAAUGGGAUCAAGAGCUGCAGAUCGUCUUCGAGGAUUGCAAUACUAAGAAAAAGGUUGGAUUUAUAUAUUCAUGAUUAUUUUUUUUUGGAAUUUUCUGUUUGGAGAUUCCAUUUUUAGGGCAUCUUCUAUUCAAGUAUGGCUUAUUGAUGUUCUCAAUGGAUGAUGUAAUCUGAUUUGUUUCUCAUUCAG
rnacentral:lncRNA from 1 species